AUUCAGCUGACGAGUCCCAAAUAGGACUAAACGCGCACUGCCCUGGAAU
rnacentral:hammerhead_ribozyme from 1 species